rnacentral:lncRNA from 1 species
CCCAAAGUGCUGGGAUUACAGGCAAUGGCCACCAUUCCCAGCAAAAAUAACAUUUUAAAAUGGAACCCAGUUAGUGUUACAUACUUGAAAACACUGGCUGAGCACAGUGGCUCAUGCCUGUAAUCCCAACACUUUGGGAGGCCAAGGUGGGUGAAUCACCUGAGGUCAGGAGUUCAAGACCAGCCUGGCCAACAUGGUGAAACCCUGUCUCUACUAAAAAUACAAAAAUUAGCUCUGCAUGGUGUCGGGUGCCUGUAAUCCCAGCUACUCAGGAGGCUGAGGCAAGAGAAUUGCUUGAACCCGGGAGGUGGAGGUUGCAGUUAGCAGAGAUUGCACCACUGCACUCCAGCCUGGGCAACAGAGCAAGACCCUGUCUCCAAAACAAACGAACAAACAAGAAAACAUUAAAAACAAUUUUUUGCAGUUAUCUAGAACUCAAUUUAUGUUCAGUUAUCCCUAAUUACCUCUAAAAGUUUACUUAGUUUUGACUGGUUUGUUCCAGCCCAGGCUUUGCAUUGCAUCUGAUUGUGAUGUCCCUUGAGCUCCUCUGAUCAGGUCCUCUCGUGACAGAGACUGGAUUGAUUGUCCUGCAGAAGAUUCAGUCUUCUGCUUGCUUCUUCAUUGUGCCAUUUAACUUGUUUCUCUAUCCCUUACAUUUGCUCUAAACUAGAAGUUAGAUCUUUUUUUUUUCUUUGAGGCAGAGUCUUGCUCUGUCACUCAGGCUGGAGUGCAGUGGCAUGAUCUUGGCUCACUGCAACCUCUGCCUCCUGGGUUCAAGCGGUUCUCAUGCCUCAGCCUCCCAAGUAGCUGGGACUACAGGAAUGUGCCACCACGCCUGGCUAAUUUUUGUAUUUUUAGUAGAGACAAGGUUUCACUGCAAGCUCUGCCUCCUGGGUUCACGCCAUUGUCCCACCUCAGCCUCCCGAGUUGCUGGGACUACAGGCGCCCGCCACCACGCCCGGCUAAUUUUUGGUAUUUUUAGUAGAGACUCAGUUUCACCGUGUUAGCCAGGAUGGUCACGAUCUCCUUAUCUCAUGAUCCACCCGCCUCAGCCUCCCAGAGUGCUGGGAUUACAGGCAUGAGCCACCACACUCGGCCACCAGGCACUUUUAAAGGACCAGAUCUCUCAUGAAAUCGGAGUGAGAACUCACUUAUCUGGUCCUUUAAAAGUGGAUAGCCCCAGCCAUUCAUGAGGGAUCCAUCCCCAUGAUCCAAACACCUCCCACCAGCCCUCACUUCCAACAGUGGGGAUUAUAUUUCAACAUGAGAUUUGGGCAGGGACAAAUAUCCAAACUACAUCACUGCUAUUCUGACUUUUAUCACACAGAUGAGUUUUGCCUGUUUCCGUAAUUCAUACAGACAGAAUCUUACAAUAUGAACUCUUUCAGUCAGCCUUAUCUAUGAGAUACAUCCAUAUUGUUGUGUGUAUCACAUUUGGUCCCCAUUGUUGACUGAUUUAUUUGAAUGAAUCUGCCAUGGUUUUAUUGUUCGUUCCCUUGCCGUUAGACCUCCUAAUGGUUUUAACGCCAAUUGAUACUCUUACCUAAGUCCAUUAUUUCCUUGGAGGUGACAAAACUGAUCAGACACUGAAGUCAGCUGUCAUUCCUGAAAAAGUGGGAUAGGAGAGAUUUAAACUGACUUUGCAGGUCUGGUGGAAGGGAAGUGAUUCUAUUCAAGAGGAGCUCAUUUAGUGUAUACACAGCUACCCUGAAUCUGGUUUCCAAAGAACUCUUAAAUACCUGGCUUCAUGGCUUUCUAUAGCCACCCUGCAGAGAGGGGCAUGCUUUCUCCACCUCCUGGAAUGAGGGUCUUGAUGGGUGAAGUGUCCCCUGGAAGUCACAGAGCAAUGGCAGGGCGGGACUUUCCCCCUCAUAUUGGGCUUUUCCCACCAUUCUUCUUACUGUGAGGUCAAGGAAAGGAGUCUUGUCGAGACCUCCAGAGGAAAGAAGGAAGGAAAUACUCAGAGAGCAAGGUGGUACUGUGGAGUUUUGAAAUCCUGCUGGCUGUAGCAACAUGCCCUUUGUACAGGCUGAUAAAUGGAGGCAGACAGAGAAAGCCAGCAGCAGCCGGCCCUGCCUGCUGCCCGGGCAAGGCCAAGCCCCAAGAUCACAGCCUCCCUGGGCAAUGCUGGCUCUCUGCUCACACCAUUGUUUCAUGCCCAAAGUCAAAGUGGUGAAAAAGCAGUGGCCAGGCCCGUGCGUGGGGUUUGUCUCCAUGACACCCCCCUUCUAUGACAGCUGUUCUCCUACCAAGGCCUGGGAAAUGUUCUUCUCAAAGCCAUUAGCUCCUUCCAUGCCAAACAUUUAGUGACAUUCCUUUAGUCCUCUGUGGCACUUAGAAAACAUAGCUAUUGAGUAACUAUAUUAAGAAAUGCCAUCUACAGCCCACCCUUGGCCAGCCCCAGAAGCUCCAGUGACGUCCACCCUCCAGGGUCAUGGGGAAGGAGGCCCCUGCUGGCCUCUUGGGUCCUAAAUUGCUUUUCCUGGCACAGUCUCACUCUCUGGGCUCUGCUAGACAGACCACUGCAAUGGGACCUCAUUUUACAAGAACCCUAGAUUAAAAAUAAAAAAAAAAA